CAUUAGCAUGCUAACACGCUAAACCAAGAUGGCGAACAUAGUAAACAUUAUACCUGAAUACGUAAACAUCAGCAUGUAAGCAUUAUCAGUGUGAGCAUGUAAGUGUUCAGCUCACCACAGCUGUGUCGAAGUACAGCCUCGAGACAGAAAGCCUGCGGCCGUUUGCGACCGUUUGCGACUUCGCGCUCGAAUUUAAAUAUUUCCCAAACAAGUACAUUUCAGGAUAUCUCGAAGGCCUUUUAGUGACAAGGGUCAAAAGGGUAUUUGGCCACGCCUCCAUGAAGCUCCACUUCUGUCUCGGACCAAGCGAUGAUGUCUCCUCUGAGGUGGCUGCCGCAGGAGGCUAGGCUGUAGAUGUCACUGGCAGGCAGGACAUGUGACCACAUGUGCAGGAUGAAGACCCCUCCUGGUUUGAUCGGGUGCCAGGGGGAAAGAUUUAUCCCGGACCCCCUCUCCACGCCGUCCUGGUAGGCCUCCCACUGUCCAUCCCUUGUUGACCAAGUCACACACACGUGGUGCCACUUUCCAUCACCCAGAGACAGAGGCAGUGUCAAAGCCUGGGAAUGGGAGAUUGAGAAGAUGCAGCUCCAUGGGGUUGUCCCCCCACUCGAUGAGCACCAGUUCAUUGGCCUGUCCAGGUGCUGAGUAAGAAAAGGGCGUCCCCAGGCUGGGCCCUGCGCCCGCCUUGAUCCAAAGACACAAAGUCAGAGCAAAGAUCUCCUGCAUCAGUGUCCUCUUCACCCGCCCGUACAUGUAGUUGGUUCUCAUGGGGAAGCUGAUCUGGAAGCCAUCAGGACUCAAAGACGUUUUCCUGCUGGAACCUGCUUUUGAAGAGAAGUAACAUUCAUUAAGUAACUGGGGCUUUCCAUCGCAUCAUAUGACCUUCCAAGAAUGAGUUUUCCGAGUCGUCAUAAAAUUGUAUUGUAGCUAGAUGUUUAAAUACAUAACAUUCAUGUUGACUUAACCUUUUUAAAAAGUUCACUCUUGACCUUGGAAACAGCAGAGGACAAAACAAUCAAAGUUCUCAAACGUCCAUUUAGUAGCCGGAGCUUUUGAUUUCAUUUUGUCAACGACUGUUUCCGAGGUAAGGAAUGAACUUUAAAACUCUACUGCUCUCCUGUUUUUAAUUUAAAAAUAGUUAGAAGAUAAUGAAAGAAAGAAACACACGCACUAGUUGCAAAUAUUGAUCAUCCAAAAAGAGGCAAAGAUUCACAUAAAAAGUAGGGAUGUGCCAAUGAGUGGAUCGGAUAUCUGAGAAGAAGAAAAAGUAUAAUCCAAUACGAACCAUUAGCCUAAACUGUCUCUACAAUGGUCUUUGAGGUAUUAGGGUACAUUGAGUGUUGAGUUAUAUCCAGUAUUUUACACAGAAAUUAUAAUUCCUUUUUUAUUCUUAAUACUCAGAUUCAAAGUUUUGCUCUCUAAAUUUAAUUUUGAAUAUUUGAAUGGUGAUC